AUUGAACGCUGGCGGCAGGCCUAACACCUGCAAGUCGAACGAGUGGCGGACGGGUGAGUAAGGUCUGGGAAACUGCCCGAUGGAGGGGGAUAACUACUGGAAACGGUAGCUAAUACCGCAUACCAUCGGAUUGGCCCCGAUGGGAUUAGCUAGUAGGUGGGGUAACGGUUCACCUAGGCGACGAUCACUAGCUGGUCUGAGAGGGUGACCAGCCACACUGGAACUGCGAAACGGUCCAGACUCCUACGGGAGGCAGCAGAGGGGAAUAUUGCACAAUGGGCGCAAGCCUGAUGCAGCCAUGCCGCGUGUAUGAAGAAGGCGUUCGGGGUGUAAAGUACGUUCAGCGAGGAGGCGUUACUCGCAGAAGAAGCACCGGCUAACUCCGUGCCAGCAGCCGCGGUAAUUC
rnacentral:rRNA from 1 species